CGAAAGCAAUAACAUUAUCAUCAUCAUGAAAUCAUAUGAACUAUAUAACAUAAUACUUACCACGCCUUUGCAUUUCAAUUAUUACACAACAUAUUUUCCUCAUUUACCAGCCUACUAGUAUCCAUGGGGAUCCAUAGGGGUCCCGCUACCCGUGAACCCUUAACAUUUAUAACCUGAUUCCAAGGCCGUCCCCAUACCCCGUCCGGUAUGGGCGCCAAAACCACGAACCUCAAUACCCCGUCCGGUAUGAGGGUAAAACGGGUCGUCCCCAUACCCCGUCCGGUAUGAGAGACCACAUUCCCGGUAGGGUUCCCCACGGACCCGGUCCGUCCACCAUCUCCCAGGAUAUCUAGUCAGGCUGUCCACAUUAUCCACUAUCAAUUCACAUAACCUUUUUGACCUUUUUCUUGGUCUCAAUCAACCAAACACACACAACAUGUAAACCAGUAAUUUAUGCCAAACAAAACAACACACAACAUCAGAUUCUCAAUCAUUCAACCCAUAGUCAAUAGAACAGUGAUAUAUGCACACGAAACUAUGAAAUGAAAACACCAGACAUCAUACUGCAUUUAGAACUGUGAAAUAGAACAAACAACAACUGACCGACAAAUACACCAUACUCGGGCUCCAUUAGCGACCUU
rnacentral:lncRNA from 1 species